rnacentral:rRNA from 1 species
UACGUAGGUGGCAAGCGUUGUCCGGAUUUACUGGGCGUAAAGAGCGCGCAGGCGGUCGUUCAAGUCGCGUGUGAAAGCCCCCGGCUCAACUGGGGAGGGUCACGCGAUACUGAUCGACUCGAAGGCAAGAGAGGGUAGUGGAAUUCCCGGUGUAGUGGUGAAAUGCGUAGAUAUCGGGAGGAACACCAGUGGCGAAGGCGACUACCUGGCCUGUUCUUGACGCUGAGGCGCGAAAGCUAGGGGAGCAAACGGG